rnacentral:lncRNA from 1 species
UACUGCAGGUAGAUGUUUUGUUUCGAGUUUAUGUACAUAGUUGACUUAACUCGCCAGUGCGAGUAGCUCUGUAUUUUGGAUUUGAACUAUGUAUAUGAAACUCUGUUUGUUUAGCUUCUGUUUUCUCUAGCAACUCUCUACUACUGUUCGUAGUAGUGUUUGACUUACAGGUACAGCUGUCGCUUCGUAUACAGGAAAAAUUUUUUUGUAUACGGCGGAUUUGUCGGCGUGCCCGGGGAACAUGUAAUCCGGGGCGUGACAGAUUAAGUUGGUAUCAGAGCUUUGCUAUAGGUCGUUGGGACCUAGGAAACCUAAGUCUGGCAAACCUUAGGAAAGUAAGACGCGAGAGGCGUAAUUUAUUGCGAAAGUCAAUGAUUAUCUGUUCUAACUCCUCCUAGAGUAGGGUGAGUGACUGAAGGAGUUCCUGUUUUGGCCUGAGAAAUUAUGUUGGCUGCAGACGACAUAAUUUUGGAGGAAAACAGGAACCGCCUUCCAGACUUUCGUU